UAAUUACCAAGGACAAUUAUCACUUUCGAGCUAAUGUAUCUUAAGAGACUAUUAGAGUGUUUGUGACAGAUGCUCACUUUUCCUUGAUCCCUGGAGGCAGACAAGGCUCACAAGCAGGGAGCAGAAGGUACUAACGAUUGACAUAUAAGGGACUGGCUGCACAUAUGUGUCACAAUAGAGGUUCUGCUUCACUUAGAAAUUCUACUCAGGACAGUUCUUUCCUAAUUUCAUACACUGAGCUACACCAUCAAAUAAGUUAAGAGAAAGAAAUGGAAUUUGUACAAGUAUCUUACAUCUCAAAAGAGAUACAAGUAACAAAAGAAUAUGACGCCAAUAAUCUAUAUUAGAUAUCACUGCUCUCAUUUGCACAACCCAAUAUCAAUGAAUGUGCAAAUUGUUAGGAAAAUAAACUUCACCAAUAUUGAACAUUUUAGGAAGAGAUGCAGAUCAAUACCCACACAGGAAAGACAGAAGUUUCUAAAGAGUCCCUUGAAAUUACAAGCCACAGGAUAAGAUGCCUGAAUAGGGAGAUUCAACAAUUCUGUCAGGUAAGUCAAGGCUAUUCACUUAACUCAGUACCAUCAAGAGGUCAACACAGUUAUCUAUACUUACUUUUGGGUAAAUUUUUCAUUAAGGAAUUAUGACUGCAUUUUGAAUUAAGAAAUACAUUUCCAAAGGAUCAGGAAAAAAUAUUUAUAUAUGAUGACUUUAAUUCUUCAGGUUUUCCUACACGUAAAUCAAUCUUUGAUCUUAGUUCAGUAAGCAAUCACUCCAAGCUGUCAAGUCAGUUGUUAGAGUCAUAAUGGUGGACAAACCAUCCUACAUACAUACACAAAACCAUAACACGUGCAAACAUACAUGCAAAGACAUUCACACCGUCAAGCACACAGUGGCACACAUUUACACACUUAUGCACAAACAGAAUAACACCCGUUAUUGAAGACAAAGUACUGGGAAGGUCUCAGGCCUGCCCUAUGAUGUCAACAUUGAGUGCCUACAAUCAACAAAAAGGUUUUCUUGCCAUACCCACCCUAGUCACUCCCUUUGCCUGAAAUACAGAUAGAACAGUAAAAUAUUCUUGGUGUGGUGUGUAUACAACCUUCUAC
rnacentral:lncRNA from 1 species